AGUGAACGCUGGCGGUAGGCCUAACACAUGCAAGUCGAACGGCAGCACAGUAAGAGCUUGCUCUUACGGGUGGCGAGUGGCGGACGGGUGAGGAAUACAUCGGAAUCUACUUUUUCGUGGGGGAUAACGUAGGGAAACUUACGCUAAUACCGCAUACGACCUACGGGUGAAAGCAGGGGAUCUUCGGACCUUGCGCGAUUGAAUGAGCCGAUGUCGGAUUAGCUAGUUGGCGGGGUAAAGGCCCACCAAGGCGACGAUCCGUAGCUGGUCUGAGAGGAUGACCACCACCCUUGAAACUGAGACACGUCCAGACUCCUACGGGAGGCAGCAGUGGGGAAUAUUGGACAAUGGGCGCAAGCCUGAUCCAGCCAUACCGCGUGGGUGAAGAAGGCCUUCGGGUUGUAAAGCCCUUUUGUUGGGAAAGAAAAGCAGCAGGUUAAUACCCCGCUGUUCUGACGGUACCCAAAGAAUAAGCACCGGCUAACUUCGUG
rnacentral:rRNA from 1 species